rnacentral:lncRNA from 1 species
UGAAAAUUAAAGGCAGAUGCAUGUAUAGGCAUUUUGUGAAUAAACAAGUGUGCCAUUAGGAUUCUGUUACCCCAUCCUUUUCAAAUAAUUUAUAUUUUAAAAAUGUUUACCUUUUCAAACAUUCCGUAAAAAUAUUACCGUUUCUCAUAUUGUUUGGGUUCAAUGUGGUAUGUAAUGUAACAGUGUAAUACAGGUACUAAAGUUUCAAAAAACAGAAAAUUGGUUGAAAAUAUACAGCUUGGAACACCAAGAAAGAUGACGGACGAAGAGAUUAUGGAAACUUUAUUGACCUUAUCAUAUAUUUCUUAUAGUUUUCCCAACCGAUUCACAUAUUUCCAAGCAUAAAACUGUUAUAUAUUCUAGUGGCACG